GAGAAGCGAGAAGAGUGACAUUAACCCUAAAAAAUAAACAAGUAUUCGUCUGAAUCCAACCUUUCUCUGCUUUCCACCAAUCUGGGAAAAAUUAUCUGUUAUCAAACAACAUUAUAAAAUUCACACCCUAAGACGAACAAUCUGAGACAAACAACAUUCGAAAAUUCCACCAGUGUGAACAACAAACACAUGAAACUGAUAUGAUCAGACAUAGCUCCUACUAACUUUUGUUUCUCGUUUAGGAAACAAUAUAGCUGAAAGCACACGAUGACACGAAUUACCAAAAUAAACUAAAAAUUGAGGGAAAUAUGUGAUCAUCAGUAGUGAUAGAGAGGGAGAAAGGAGAAGGGAUUCCCUUUUCUCAAUGUCCUUGCUUGAUUUUAUGAUAAACUAUCUUCAUUCUUGUUAUAGUUGAACCUUCUGCUAGUGAAGAACAAAAUAACAUAAGCACAUUUGCAGGGAGGAGGAGAAAAGAAGGGUAUAUACAUGAAUCUGAAGUACGUCAGUGUGAUAUACAUGCGUUCAGUGUAGCAGUCAAAGAAGGUGAAACUAAAGUGAGAUAGAUGAUAUACAUGCGAGCAGGGAAAUAAAUCAAGAAAUGAAACUGAAACACGUACUGAAUAUGAAAAUUUGUGAGUAAUGAGGGAUUUACGAGAGCAAGGGCAAACCUCGACAAGCAGAGCAACAAGGAAAUGAGAGCACACAAGGCAACCUAAAUUCCAGUCAAGCAAAGAACCUAGCAACGUGUUAUAGAUGGAAUCAGUGGACUAUAAAGGGAGAAAAAUGAAUCAAGAGAAGUGCAUAAAAACAACAAGCAGAUAAUCCCUAGAGCACAUCAUCCAUAUAAAACAAUGAGAAAGUGGUAUAGUUGCUUUAGGAAACACGAAGAUUAAACAGUAGUUGACGACCAUCAUCACAAGGCAACAAGCACCACCCACUGCGUACAUCCUUCCCAAAGGCCCAACCAAAACAAUCACCAUGCCUAUAGUCAGCGAGCAACAACCAUUGGCUGGUGAUUUAUAGAAAUCAUUGGAUAGGAAGUGCUACACGUGCACAUGUGACACCCAAAGAACCAUACUAAAUAGGGAAUGCAGCCCACUGAAACCUGAUGACACCACACGAGCAUGUACACAAACUAGAACGCACAAACACCUCCUCCAACAAGCAAGGAGCAAGGGAACAAGGAACAAACAAGAGUGCACCUUCUUACAAUAUAGAAAAAAUCAACGAACUAAAGCCAUGAGAGCACAUCUCACCUUGCCGAACAAAAGCGAGGCCAAGAGAUCGAGCAAAGCACCUAACAGACAAGGAAACCAAAACAAGCAACACUUCAGUCCACAAACAUUCCAUUGAACAGGAGAAGCGCAAGAAAAGAUCUAACCUUGAAGAUCGAUGGAACCGACGCCGAGAGAUCUCCCUCCUCGGCCAGUUCCUCUGGUAGCAUCCGUUGGAUCUUGUCGCGGUAAUGGUGGUGGUGCUCCCCAUACUAGCCCCCGUGUAAGGGGCAUGAGGACACAGAGAAAUCCCCGUAUCCAGCCGCAACAUCGAGAACGACG
rnacentral:lncRNA from 1 species